rnacentral:lncRNA from 1 species
AACGCCCACCUCCCCACCAUGGCUACUGCAGCAAGUCCUUUCCUCGGCCUCGAACGGUCAUGGAGUCUCUCUUUGGUGUCCCCUUCCAUCGUCCUCCCUUCGAGUUCCUCCAGUGAGCUCCUUUCCGCGAAUUGCAGCCGCGACUAAUGCAGAGCCAUGUCCACUCGAGCUCUACCCUAGCCACAAGCUUCAAGGUCAAGAAGCCAUGACCGUGUCUAGAUUUGGAGCCUUGGUCGCAACAGAUUUGGAGCAUGACCACGCGUCUGAGUCAAAUCUAGAGGAAUUGGCCAUGAAUG